rnacentral:rRNA from 1 species
GAUCAUGGCUCAGGAUGAACGCUGGCGGCGUGCUUAACACAUGCAAGUCGAACGAAGAUGCCGGAGUGCUGCACUUUGGCAGACUGAGUGGCGGACGGGUGAGUAACGCGUGGGUAACCUGCCUUAUACCGGGGGAUAACACUUAGAAAUAGGUGCUAAUACCGCAUAAGCGCACAGCUUCGCAUGAAGCAGUGUGAAAAACUCCGGUGGUGUGAGAUGGACCCGCGUCUGAUUAGCUAGUUGGUAAGGUAACGGCUUACCAAGGCGACGAUCAGUAGCCGACCUGAGAGGGUGACCGGCCACAUUGGGACUGAGACACGGCCCAAACUCCUACGGGAGGCAGCAGUGGGGAAUAUUGCACAAUGGGGGAAACCCUGAUGCAGCGACGCCGCGUGAGUGAAGAAGUAUUUCGGUAUGUAAAGCUCUAUCAGCAGGGAAGAAAAUGACGGUACCUGACUAAGAAGCCCCGGCUAACUACGUG